CUGGCUCAGGACGAACGCUGGCGGCACGCUUAACACAUGCAAGUCGAACGGAGAAAUUGGAUUUAUUCAUUUCUUAGUGGCGGACGGGUGAGUAACACGUGAGCAACCUGCCUUUGAGAGGGGAAUAGCUUCGGGAAACUGAUGGUAAUACCCUAUAACAUACAGAAACCGCAUGAUUUUUUGUAUCAAAGAUUUAUCACUCAAAAGAUGGGCUCGCGUCUGAUUAGGUAGUUGGUGAGGUAACGGCUCACCAAGCCGACGAUCAGUAGCCGGACUGAGAGGUUGAACGGCCACAUUGGGACUGAGACACGGCCCAGACUCCUACGGGAGGCAGCAGGUGGGGAAUAUUGCACAAGUGGGGGGAACCCUGAAUGCAGCGAUGCCGCGUGGAGGAAGAAGGUUUUCGGAUUGUAAACUCCUUUUGUAUGGGAAGAUAAUGACUGUACCAUACGAAUAAGCUCCGGCUAACUACGUGCCAGCCGCCGC
rnacentral:rRNA from 1 species